AGAGUUUGAUCCUGGCUCAGAUUGAACGCUGGCGGCACGCUUUACACAUGCAAGUCGAGCGGCAGCGCGAGGGUGCUUGCACCCUUGGCGGCGAGCGGCGGACGGGUGAGUAACGCAUGGGAAUAUGCCCGACAGUGGGGGAUAACCUUGGGAAACCAGGGCUAAUACCGCAUACACUCCACGGAGAAAAGCGGGGGAUCUUCGGACCUCGCGCUGACGGAGUAGCCCAUGUCCGAUUAGCUUGUUGGCGGGGUAACGGCCCACCAAGGCGACGAUCGGUAGCUGGUCUGAGAGGAUGAUCAGCCACACCGGGACUGAGACACGGCCCGGACUCCUACGGGAGGCAGCAGUGGGGAAUCUUGGACAAUGGGCGCAAGCCUGAUCCAGCCAUGCCGCGUGAGUGAAGAAGGCCUUCGGGUUGUAAAGCUCUUUCAGCGGAGACGAUGAUGACGGUAUCCGCAGAAGAAGCCCCGGCUAACUUCGUGCCAGCAGCCGCGGUAAUACGAAGGGGGCUAGCGUUGUUCGGAAUUACUGGGCGUAAAGGGCGCGUAGGUGGCGUUGCAAGCGGGUGGUGAAAUCCCUGGGCUCAACCCAGGAAUUGCCAUCCGAACUGUGGUGCUCGAGUUCGGAAGAGGGUAACGGAAUUCCCAGUGGAGAGGUGGAAUUCGUAGAGAUUGGGAAGAACACCAGAAGCGAAGGCGGUUAUCUGGUCCGAAACUGACACUGAUGCGCGAAAGCGUGGGUAGCAAACAGGAUUAGAUACCCUGGUAGUCCACGCCCUAAACGAUGUCCGCUAGCUAUUGGGCGCAGGCCCAGUGGCGAAGCUAACGCGUUAAGCGGACCGCCUGGGGAGUACGGUCGCAAGAUUAAAACUCAAAGGAAUUGACGGGGACCCGCACAAGCGGUGGAUGAUGUGGUUUAAUUCGAUGCAACGCGAAAAACCUUACCUGUCCUUGACAUGUACGGAAUCCCAUGGAGACAUGGGAGUGCCUUUUGGAGCCGUAACACAGGUGUUGCAUGGCUGUCGUCAGCUCGUGUCGUGAGAUGUUGGGUUAAGUCCCGCAACGAGCGCAACCCUUGUCCUUAGUUGCCAUCAUUGAGUUGGGCACUCUAGGGAGACUGUCGGCGUCAAGCCGGAGGAAGGCGGGGAUGACGUCAAGUCCUCAUGGCCUUUAUGGGCUGGGCUACACACGUGCUACAAUGGUGGUGACAGAGGGUUGCAAAGGGGUGACCUGGAGCGAAUCCUAAAAAGCCAUCUUAGUUCGGAUUGCACUCUGCAACUCGGGUGCAUGAAGUUGGAAUCGCUAGUAAUCGCGGAUCAGCAUGCCGCGGUGAAUACGUUCUCGGGCCUUGUACACACCGCCCGUCACACCAUGGGAGUUGGUUUUACCUGAAGGCGGCGAGCCAACCUUUUAGGAGGCAGCCGACCACGGUAGGGUUAGCGACUGGGGUGAAGUCGUAACAAGGUAGCCGUAGGGGGG
rnacentral:rRNA from 1 species